UCAAGAGCGCUGACGCUCGCGACGUCAGGCUGCGGUGGGGCCGAGCGAGCGUUGGCGCGACGGGCCAAGACUCCGUGCAGGGCUGCGCAUGCGCCGCCGGGAUAGGUGGCUGUUGGUCCAAGAAGGCUGGGGCUGCUGCUGGAAGAAAUAGGAGGACAGCCAAGGAAUCUUUGCUUAUCGAAAGUGGAGCGGUUGCUUUUUUAUUUUCCUGCUGUCUUGGGAGAAGUAGCUUCCUGUCUUGAUUUCUGUGUUUUGGAGGCCUUUUAACUCUUUCCAGAAUGCAAAGAUGCACUUGAUACUUUCCUGGGGGCCUGGGGUUGUUUAUGAAUAGUAACGAAAGCCUGGGCUUGCUUAAUUUUGGACUGUGUUUUCCUAUGUUGGGGAGAGAGGUGGGCCGUGGAUCUUGGCUUUACAGUCAUCAGUGACCAAAAGAAAUGGAGGAGAAGGAACGAUGUGAUCAAUUCAGUCUGACACUCCUAUGCUAAGUUCUCUCAAACAAUUUUUCAAGGGAAAAAUCAGAAGAAAAGAGAACAGUAUACUAAAAGCAAUUUCUGCAAAAUAAGGCAGCAGAUAGGACAAUGGAAGAAGAAUGGUUCAAAUUUUGAAGUUGCUUUUGCAGCUAUCAAAUAAAGACAACAAUUGAAAUUCAACUGCAGGUCUACUAUUUGUGCUGAAGUUGUCUAUAAAGAAAAGGGCAGUUUGCUCUUUGUUUCUUUUGAAAAAGAACCUUCAGAAACAUUAUCUCCAAUCUUCACAUCAACACCACUUUUAAAAAAUGAGUUGCGUGCCAUGGAAAGGUGACAAAACAAAAUCGGAAUCGCCAGAAACGCCACAGGUGAUGCCAGUGCAUAUUUAUCAUGAAAAACAACGCAGAGAGUUAUGUGCCCUCCAUGCUCUCAAUAAUGUCUUCCAGGACAGCAAUGCCUUUACACGAGACACAUUACAGGACAUUUUCCAGAGACUAUCUCCCAACACAAUGGUGACACCACACAAGAAAAGUAUGCUGGGGAACGGGAACUAUGAUGUUAAUGUCAUCAUGGCAGCUCUUCAGACCAAAGGUUAUGAAGCAGUUUGGUGGGAUAAGCGCAGGGAUGUUAACGUAAUUGUCCUUUCCAAUGUCAUGGGUUUCAUAAUGAAUCUGCCCUCAAGUCUCUGCUGGGGUCCACUGAAACUCCCUCUUAAACGGCAACAUUGGAUCUGUGUCCGGGAAGUGGGAGGAACCUACUAUAAUCUUGACUCCAAAUUAAAGGUUCCUGAAUGGAUUGGUGGUGAAAGUGAGCUCAGCUCCAGUAAAUCCAGCAAAGAUGCUAUCUAUGCCUCAUUUCAUUGAUUACUACACUUUCUCUAAGUCUCUAUAGCUGGAGAGCAUAAUAAAAGAAUAACAGGAAGUUUUUAAGAAACCAGCUGCAAGGAAAGAACUGUGAACUUCUGCUGGUAGUACCUGAGGAGGUAGAAGUACAUCAAAGUUGGAAAGUUGAUGCAUGACCUGCAAAAUAUCUUAUCUUUGCACUACAGUACUGGUCCUUCUCCCUUCCAACUUCUACUGUCCUGUGAUGUGGAUAAUGAGCACUAUACUCUCCCCAGGAACUUUCCAUUAUGAAGGUGCAAUAAGGCAGUCACAAGGUACUGUCAGGGCCAAACCAGAUUAUUGAAGCCGGACUUAGGGGAAGAGAUAGAAGCCAGUUUUGCAUUCUUUCAUUAUAAUGCAUAAUGAAUUAGAAAUGGGGUAUUGGAAUCUUCUCCAUUGAAUUCUGAUUCACUUUCUUACCCACCAUCCUAAAAUACUUUAUAUUGAAUUGUACACUACUGUCUCUAGGAGUCUCUAUAGUUGGAUGGUUUGUCUCUCCUUCAGGAGAGGUUUGAGGCCAGGCAUGUUCCCUUCAUAUCUAUGACUCCCUUCUCUACCAAACUUACGUUGAAGAAACUUGCAAACGGUAUGGGUCUCUCAGGAAAUUUUAGAUACUCUUAGCAAUGGUAUGGUGCUUGUGGAUUCCCUAUUUAAAUAGCAAUUGUGCCAACAGUUAGGGGACAUAUUGACAAAACGGGACCAUAAUUCUGGAACUCUUAUUGGAGUUUGGGGCUUUUCUUUGUCAUACUUGACAUUUUUUGAUUUGAGAAUGAAAGAGUGAAUAAUUUGGGGAGAUAAUUGAUGCUUAUUUUUCAAAAACCUCAAAUAUUUUUGGUUAGGUGGGUCAGGUAUAGCCUCUCUUUAUUUAUCUUGUCCUGUAAUUCAGGGAAAUAAUUCACUGAGCAGGGAAUAUAUCAACAAAUUUCUUAAGGAUGAAAUCAUGACAUAAAAGGAAAUUAUAGCCAAGUUUUUGUAAGGUAGAACAUCGUUGAAAGGGGAAGUGUUAAUUUUGCAACCUAUUGUGGGGAGCAAAUCCAAGGAUUAGAAUUUUGUUCCUAUUUCAGCUGAUAAUAGCUGCUAGGGAAGUUUGAUGCGGGUAGAUGAAGACUAUUUAAAACAGGUUAAGCUGAGUUACAUUCUUCCAUUCCAUCUAGCAGGAAAUCAUAAUCUCUCUUCUCUUUCCCACUAAAUUAAUAAAAGAGCUGAAGAUUGGCAGGAACCUUAUUAGUUUUCCCUUUCGCUUCAUCUAAGUGUGCCUCAUUUAUUCUUGUCAGUUUAUCCUGUUGCGUUUUUCAUUAAGUGUCAUUUACAUUAGUACUGAUAUAUCAGGAAUAGGACCUAUGUUUCCAACAUCAUCCUAGUAAAGGAAGGGCAAAAGUAACUCUUGUAACUGUAAAGGAGGCCUUUUGCUUUCUAUUUUGAGUAAAAGCAAGAUAGACACCUUUCAGUUUUGUACUUGAACUCUCCUUUCAAUCAAAUACUUUGAGGAUGACAAUGAGAUCAAGAUGAAUCUUGUUUAUUGAUGCCUGGAUAAUUUGCAGCCAUAUACUGGGAAAACUGAAUUGACUCUUCUCUGCAUGUACUACAGUCCAAACAGGAUACUUCUAGUUUAAUAGAAGCUCUCUCUUCUUCUGGACUAUACAUUCCAGUGGUAAAACCAGCUGACAUUUUUACACAUGACAUUUUUCAUAAGUAGAACAUUAGGCCUGAAGUUCUGCUUCUGACUUGAAGCCAUUUUUUUCAUGAAUUUUAAAAAUAUCAGCAGUAAAGACACUAUUCUUUAUGCUGACUAAAACAGCACUUUGGAGAGACCCUGUUUGCAUGGAAGCCAAUGGACCAGUGCAUAAUAUACAAAUAUCUUAAAAAGUAAAGCUGUUCCUUUCCUCUCGGUAUAUUGAUGUCAUUGUUCUGGCCAUAGGGAAAGUGGUGUGAUUCAGCAGCUCAGGAAAAGGGAACAUGUAAUCAUACACACUUCAGAACCAGAAUUAUGGCACGAGAGGAGAAUAAUCAGCCCAGUCCAGUUGCUUGGGAAUAGAAAAACCCAUGAUUGUUUUCUUGCUUGUUUGGUUUUGUUAUAGCUUUGUCUUGGGUUUGUUUACAGAGAUGUAUUUUGUUUAACCAAAUAUUAAAAAUGAGAAAAUCUUUCCCAAUGUU